rnacentral:rRNA from 1 species
AACGAACGCUGGCGGCAGGCCUAACACAUGCCAGUCGAGCGCACCCUUCGGGGUGAGCGGCGGACGGGUGAGUAACGCGUGGGAACGUGCCCUUCUCUGCGGAAUAGCCUCGGGAAACUGAGAGUAAUACCGCAUACGCCCUUUGGGGGAAAGAUUUAUCGGAGAAGGAGCGGCCCGCGUUGGAUUAGGUAGUUGGUGGGGUAAUGGCCCACCAAGCCGACGAUCCAUAGCUGGUUUGAGAGGAUGAUCAGCCACACUGGGACUGAGACACGGCCCAGACUCCUACGGGAGGCAGCAGUGGGGAAUCUUAGACAAUGGGGGCAACCCUGAUCUAGCCAUGCCGCGUGAGUGAUGAAGGCCUUAGGGUUGUAAAGCUCUUUCAGCUGGGAAGAUAAUGACGGUACCAGCAGAAGAAGCCCCGGCUAACUCCGUG